GAUGAAGAACGUAGCGAAAUGCGAUAAGUAAUGUGAAUUGCAGAAUUCAGUGAAUCAUCGAAUCUUUGAACGCACCUUGCGCUCCUUGGUAUUCCUUGGAGCAUGCCUGUUUGAGUAUCAUGAAAUCCUCAAAAUAUAUCUUCGUUCAUUCGAUUGGUUUUAUUUUGGACUUGGAGGUCUGCAGAUUCACGUCUGCUCCUCUCAAAUGCAUUAGCUGGAUCUCAGUGAGCUCGGUUCCACUCGGCGUGAUAAGUAUCACUCGCUGAGGACACUGUAAAAAGUGGCCGGGAUUGCAGAUGAACCGCUUCUAAUCGUCUAUUAGCUUAGACAAUUAAAUCUUAUGAUCUGAUCUCAAAUCAGGUAGGACUACCCGCUGAACUUAAGCAUAUCAAUAAGCGGAGGA
rnacentral:misc_RNA from 1 species